CCAGCAGCAGCCAAGGAAUCGAUAGCCUUUAAAUAAGUAAUUAGGGGAGCCGAAGACGUCGGCACAUCCAGGAGUGAGCAGGGGAACAUAAAUUCAUGACUCCCAGGCUCACUGGGCAAGGGCCUGGUUCUGUUUCUCGGUCAAGAAAUGUGACAGCGCCUGGGGGCAAUGAUGGUGGAGGAACAGGGAGCCAGUGUUGUAGAGUCUGUUUUCACUUUCCUGUCCUCUGUUUCUGGUGGCUUUUAGGAUAAGGAUCAAAAUCUUCUCCCAACCUAGAGAGGUAAAUCUGGAGCUGAAGCUGGCUCCGGUACAAUGUCAGCUUGUUUAUUCACUGGUUGUGUGACCUGAGACACACACCCUCUCUGUGCUCAGUUUCCCUAGCUGUAAAACGCCCCACCCCCACCCCCCAGCCCCCAAAUAAGGUCAUCAUGAGGUUUACAGACGUUCGUACCACAUGCAAAGCAUGCAGAGCAGUGUGGGCCGUGGUUAGCAUCCAGGGGCCUUUGUGACUAAGUCCCAGCCCGAGGCUACAGCCUCACGGGUGUUACGCUCCCCAAGAAAGGGGUGAAGGGCCAUCGCAGGUGCCCGGGAAGCAAUCAUCUGCCGUUUUUCCCGUCCUCCUGCACCACCAUCACCCCCCCACCACCACCAGCCCCGCAGAAGUCGCAGAAAACAGCCAACAAGGGUGGCCGCUGAGUCCCACGGGGAUCACAAGGUUAUAAGAACAAAGGCUGCCACUUCCUCUCUCCCUGCGGUGCUGCCUGUGUGUGGACACCAUCUGAUGAGAAUGUAAUUCCUUUUAUGAUCCAGGAAGGUAUAAAAAUGCAUAUAAACAACCACAUGUCAUCACUGGAGUUGGCCAUCACAUUUUUAUUGGUCUACAGCGUGUGUUUUUGUUAGCCUGACGUCUGUUAGAAACCAGGUUCUGAAACACUGUCCUCGUUUGGGUGCUGGAGACAAAUAGUAUCCAGAAGCCAUUCCCAGGCCUGGUCUCAGGGAAACAGUCCCCAGAGCAGGAGGGUGUGUGUGUGUGUGUGUGUGUGUGUGUGUGUGUGUGUGUGUGUGUGUGUGUGUGCAUGUGCAUGCGCGUGCACGCUUGCUCCUCCCUGGAGGUUCCCUGGUCCAGGCUCAGUGGAGGAAUCGGAGGCCCAGGGCAGGGCAGUGCUCUGUCCAGGAUCAUGGGACUGCUUGGUUUAGCACCAUUUUCUGAGCAUGUCAGGGAGCCCCAGCUGCUGCCGGAGCCAGCCCCCCAGUCUCGGGGGUGCCACGGAGCUGUCCUUCUAGCUUGUGUGGCAGAGAGCAUGGUGGAUGAUGGGUGGAUGGGCCUCCCUGCUUCGUGUGGCUCCACCCUCCCCUAAAGCCUCAGAAUCUUCUGCUUCCAGCUGAAUGGGGGAAGGAUCCGGAGGCUCGCAAGGUUUUAUGGAUUUUUAUGGAGAUGUUUGGGUAGGGCCUGGAAGUGGCUCAGCCACAUCUGUCCACAUCCCUCAGCGGAUCACUAGGUCAGGGUCGAUACCAAACUGCAAGGGAGGCUAGGAAAUGUAGCCCAGCUGGGUGCCUGCGAGGAAGACAAGGCAGACUGGUCUCAGUGCCCAGCCCCGAGCUGGAAGCUGCCUGGGCAGAGAUGCUGAGAUGGAGAUGCAGGCCCAUCAGUUUGAGGUUCCCAAUAAGGGCUGGUCUAGCACGUUAUCAAUCGCUAGAAGCCCAUGACUCCUCUCUAGAGAGACCUCACCCCAGGAUAAGCCUAAGCCUCCCGGGGUCCUUGCUACCUCGUGCCAAGUGGUGUCAGCCACCCUUGUUUCUAAAGGGUUACAGAGAAGUGGGGAGGCUGGGUUCAUUUCCUGAAAGGCCCUAUUCUCUGCCUCAGGCCAGCAGAAUUUCCUUUCAGGGGGAGGCAGGGGCCUCUCUCCCCAGGGUUACCUGUCGCCUCACACCCCCACAGGGCUGGGCUCUCAACAAAACAGCCUGGAGGGAGGACCAGCACCUCAGUUCACACACACACACACACACACACACACACACUCACGCAUACACACAAAUGCGCCCAUGCACACACACAUCUCAGAACCAGCUAUAGCCGACAUCUGCCGCUUUGGUUAACGAGUAUCUGUUUGGGGGAUCCCAAGGUCUGUUUGGAGGACCCCCCUCCCACCACAGACACAGACUGCAGCACGUAUUCUGCACCCCCACCAACUAGAAUGUGGACAUGGGGCCUAAAGUGUGGCCAACUGGACACGCCCUCCUGGGACUUCCACUCCAUAGGGUGACACAGAGGCCUGGCAUCCAUCAGACCUUUAAAGGGCGCUGCAGCUGAAGGGCACCUCUCCAGCUGCCAGCAGGGGCCAUGGUGACCAGCUGGCAGGUGGCGGGCUCUGGCGUGGCACCUUGGCUGGGCCUUCACGCUCGGGUUCCCGUCAAGCCUGUUUCUCCAGUCCCCUGUCAACUGCCUGCGCCACCUGAAGCUCUCCCAGACGCCUCUUUCAGGUGAGCCCCGCCUCCUGCAGCCUUGGCCUUGCACCUGCUCACCCACCCCCUCCCGCCAAGGAUUUCCUUGGCUGCCGGCUUCAGCCGGGCUGUCCCAGACCCCAGGCAAGUCUGACAGCUUCCGCCCUCCAGGGAAAGGCCAGGGUUCCCACCUCUUUCCUCCAGGGGAUUCUGCAGCAAAUUUCAAAUUAAGUUGCGUUUUCACACUCCUGCAGAGUUCAGCGUUCUCAGGAGGGCUGUGGUAGAACCAAGGUAAUUGGCAUUCUUAGUAAUCCCAUGUGCACCUCAAAGCAUUCUUCUGAAAAGAAGCCCACCCUCCACUUGAUGCCCAAGGGGUCCAGGACAGCAGGACCCCUCUGGAUUGUAGCCCCCAGGCUGUUGGUGCCAGGAUUCCUUACUCAACAACAUGGGCCCUUUGCCUGAUGACAGCCCCCCUGGCUUGACCCAUCCUCCCUUCACUGUUUCUUCCGGAAAAAGAUCCCUACUUUCUUUGGGGGGCCAGCUCCUCUCUCCACCCUACAGAAGUAGGUGGGCCCUGUAGGAGUUUUCACAUUGUCACAUGCCCUCACUCUCUCAGUUCAGCCAAUUCAGGAGGAGUGGGCUCCUGACCCAAACCUGGCCAAUCAGCUCCUUCUCUGUGGUGGUGGUGGUUGUUGUUUUAAACUGGAACUAGGAGUUCCCAUUGCGGCUCAGAGGAUUAAGAACUCGACAUAGUGUCUAUGAGGACACAGGUGUGAUCCCUGGCCUCACUCAGUGGGUUAAGGAUCCAGUGUUGCUGUGAGCUGCGCUGUAGGCCACAGCUGUGGCUCGGAGCUGGCAUUCCUGAGGCUGUGGCAUAGGCUGGCAGUUGUAGCUCCAAUUUGAUCCCUGGCCCAGGCACUUCCAUAUGCCACAGGUGUGGCCGUAAAAAGAAAAAAGAAAAAGAAAAA
rnacentral:lncRNA from 1 species